GCGCCUGUAGCUCAGGGGAUAGAGCAGUAGACUUCUAAUCUACUGGCCGGGGGUUCGAAUCCUCCCAGGCGCGCCA
rnacentral:tRNA from 1 species